UUCUCCUCUGCCUCCUCUCCCUACCCCACUUCCCAAACAUUAUCUUGAAGAAAAAAUUCUGGGUGUUCAAAAGCUAGAGGCAGAUCGAUGCUUUGAUAUGUGUCCAGUCAUUUGUACACGAAGCCAAAGGAAUUCUUUGAGAUACCUUCAAGAUGUAGUCACAUUUUAUAAGGAGUCCAAUAGGGAAGAAACAAUAGUCUAAAUGUGACAAUGGGAGGUUUCUUAGAAACAAGAGGAACCCAGAGCUGCGUAAACAAGACGAUUGUCUUGAACAGAAUCUUAUGUGGGCAGCCAUGAUGAUGGGUAGCCGUGAUGGUGGUCAGAAAGAUUUAAGCAUUCAUCAAACAGAAAUGGCUAGAGGGAGGAUAAACUGAUGCCAAUGUACUUUCUAGCAUCUCCACAUAGACUUGUGAUUGGACUAGAGCAUAUUGGUAUCAGAAUAUAUGAAAAACCAAUAACCAACCCUGUUGCAACCCUAAUUGUCUAAGUCCUCUUGCAUAUCAGAACUGAAUUCAGGAGAUCCACCAGCUUCAGGCUCUAUGGCUGCAAAGAUGACAUAUAGAUAUUGCCAUACCAAAAUAGGAUGCUGCCUUUUAAUGAAGACAUGGAAGAGCUGGCAUAUGAACACUUGCUUAAGAGGGAGGAUUAGCACCCUUGUUGUGAGGGUUUGUUGAGCCCUUUCCAGAGCUCCUCAUCCAUCUUUGGUCUCUACCUUUCACCCAGGUCUCACCUGUGGUUUCAAGAAGUUGUAGCAUAUGCAGUGACCUCACCCCAUUAAAACUGUCUCAGCAGAUGGACUGAACCAGCCUGAGGGUAACUUGACAGUUCUCAAACCAGUUGAAGAACAGGAGAACUUAUACAUAUGAAGACUUCACCUAGUGGAAUAGACAGAUGAGAACAACUUGUUGCAAUCAUCAUGCAGGAGGUUGAAACAAGCUUUGAUACCAUGGUCAUCUGUUGCAUCCUGGGCUAUUGCCAGUCAUCCUGACUUUUAUCUUUCCCUUGGACUUCAGUGAUUUUAAGAGAGAGUAAGUCUGGCAGUUUUGUGUAACUGCCUCUCUUAAAUAGAAUUCAAGUGCA
rnacentral:lncRNA from 1 species